UACGUAGGUGGCAAGCGUUGUCCGGAUUUACUGGGUGUAAAGGGGGCGCAGGCGGGAAGCUAAGUUGGAUGUGAAAUACCGGGGCUCAACUCCGGAGCUGCAUCCAAAACUGGUUUUCUUGAGUGGAGUAGAGGCAAGCGGAAUUCCGAGUGUAGCGGUGAAAUGCGUAGAUAUUCGGAGGAACACCAGUGGCGAAGGCGGCUUGCUGGGCUCUAACUGACGCUGAGGCCCGAAAGCGUGGGGAGCAAACAGGAUUAGAUACCCCGGUAGUCCCUGA
rnacentral:rRNA from 1 species